AACGAACGCUGGCGGCAGGCUUAACACAUGCAAGUCGAGCGCCCCGCAAGGGGAGCGGCAGACGGGUGAGUAACGCGUGGGAACGUACCUUUUGGUUCGGAACAACUCCGGGAAACUGGAGCUAAUACCGGAUAAGCCCUAACGGGGAAAGAUUUAUCGCCGAAAGAUCGGCCCGCGUCUGAUUAGCUAGUUGGUGAGGUAACGGCUCACCAAGGCGACGAUCAGUAGCUGGUCUGAGAGGAUGAUCAGCCACACUGGGACUGAGACACGGCCCAGACUCCUACGGGAGGAAGCAGUGGGGAAUAUUGGAAAAUGGGCGCAAGCCUGAUCCAGCCAUGCCGCGUGAGUGAUGAAGGCCUUAGGGUUGUAAAGCUCUUUUGUCCGGGAAGAUAAUGACUGUACCGGAAGAAUAAGCCCCGGCUAACUUCGUG
rnacentral:rRNA from 1 species